CACCUGACAGUGUGUUAAAUUUAAAUUCUGUUAGCGCUGCACUAAAAGAAUCGUUAGUAAUAAGUCCAUGCAGCGAAGAAAUUGAACAAUUGUGGGACCGUAUUUGGGCCGAAAAUGGGUGUGGUACGGAAACCGAGAUAUGGCACGAGUUCAACAUAAAACGUGGAUUAGAAUUUUAGCAGGGGAUCAAGUCAAGUCUGGAAGUGUUACAGGAGGGAAGAGUCAGCCUACAGUUGAAAAAACACUGAGUGCAUUACCAUUAAGUUCUGUCACAGCUAGAAGCCUCAAAUAAUGCUGCUUCUCUGGCUAAAGAACAACUUGUCCUUUACGUUCAGAGUGUUGGGGAAACUGGGUACUUAAAUGGCCCUAAAGAUGUUUUAAUUUUGCUGCCAUUGCAGAGAUGAACAUCAUAC